UGGGGAAUUUUGGACAAUGGGGGAAACCCUGAUCCAGCCAUCCCGCGUGUGCGAUGAAGGCCUUCGGGUUGUAAAGCACUUUUGGCAGGAAAGAAACGUCAUGGGUUAAUACCCCGUGAAACUGACGGUACCUGCAGAAUAAGCACCGGCUAACUACGUGCCAGCAGCCGCGGUAAUACGUAGGGUGCAAGCGUUAAUCGGAAUUACUGGGCGUAAAGCGUGCGCAGGCGGUUCGGAAAGAAAGAUGUGAAAUCCCAGAGCUCAACUUUGGAACUGCAUUUUUAACUACCGGGCUAGAGUGUGUCAGAGGGAGGUGGAAUUCCGCGUGUAGCAGUGAAAUGCGUAGAUAUGCGGAGGAACACCGAUGGCGAAGGCAGCCUCCUGGGAUAACAAUGACGCUCAUGCACGAAAGCGUGGGGAGCAAACAGG
rnacentral:rRNA from 1 species